AUUGAACGCUGGCGGCAGGCUUAACACAUGCAAGUCGAGCGAGCGGCGGACGGGUGCGUAAUGUCUGGGAACCUGCCUGGUGGAGGGGGAUAACUACUGGAAACGGAAGCUAAUACCGCCUUCCAUCAGAUGUGCCCAGAUGGGAUUAGCUAGUAGGUGGGGUAAUGGCGCACCUAGGCGACGAUCCCUAGCUGGUCUGAGAGGAUGACCAGCCACACUGGAACUGAGACACGGCCCAGACUCCUACGGGAGGCAGCAGUGGGGAAUUUUGGACAAUGGGCGAAAGCCUGAUGCAGCCAUGCCGCGUGUGUGAAGAAGGCCUUCGGGUUGUAAAGCACUUUCAGCAGGGAGGCGUUACUCGCAGAAGAAGCACCGGCUAACUCCGUGCCAGCAGCCGCGGUAAUAC
rnacentral:rRNA from 1 species